AAUAGUUAAAUAUUCAGGAAUUUUGUGAGAUGGUUGCCAAGUCUUGGUGGCUUGUAAUUGACCAUGGUCAUCAUUUUGCCACUGUCAUAGUAAUAGUGACUUCAGUAAAAAACAUACAUGGGUUGUAAAACUCGUAGGUGAAACAUUGAAGACAAAGAGGAUAUUUACACGGUCUCAGAGGUUUUCCCCACAAGUUACUAAUCCAUUCCAAAGUGGAAAAUAACUUUGCAGUAGAUUAACCUGGUGAACACACUUUCAACAAGUACUGCCAGUUAAAAUCACCCCUUUUGGAACAGCGUGGCUCCUGAUUGGAUGUUAGAUGUAUUAGGUAGCUGCAAAAGUUAUUGUGGUUUUUGCCAUUACUUUUAAUUGCAUUUUUUUGCAAUUAAAAGUAAUGGAAAAACCCACAAUUAAUUUUGCAGCAACCUAAUAAAUUUCUAGGCAGAAAUUUUUAUUCAGUGGAUCUGAAGGAGGCUGAGAAUUGGCAUUUGAUCUGAUGUAGGUGAUCCACAGACCGCAGACUGACUUUCUAGCAUGCCAGGUUUGCUUAGGGUUGCCCUUUACUCUUAGAACAUGGCUAUCUAUGCCUGCAUGCCUCUAGAAAGUGCCUCCAACUACCACUUAUAACAUUCAAACAUGUGUCGUUCUGCUAUGUGGCAGAAAUUCUCAUCAUCCUGGAAUACUUCCUGCACAUUUUCAGAACAAGGCCUUCCCUCUGAGUGCCCCACAAGUAGCCCUCAGAAACACUCUGGUUACCUUUGUGGGACUCAGUUUCUUUUGAAUUCUGAGAGUCAAUCAUCAGCUGAAGGAAAUCCACUCGGUGCUAGAAGCAAAAAGAGAAAUUUCACUGACAGAAAGUGGCUCCUGAAGUCAGAAGUAAAUCACAAGCGUGGUCCUUGAUCUCCCUUCUGAGAAUAUGGCUCCUUGAAGACCAGAAAUCUGAUGCAUGUUGCCUGAAUCACCAGUGAAAAACAUACCCUUCUAAAUCCUUGGAAAGCAGGAUGUUUUCCUGAAACAAAUCUGGCUAUCAUGUGAGAUGGCUCAAAUUUAACACACGCUACACUUCAGCAGGUGG
rnacentral:lncRNA from 10 species